rnacentral:rRNA from 1 species
AGCUCCAAGAACGUAUAUUAAAGUUGUUGCGGUUAAAAAGCUCGUAGUUGGAUUUCUGUGAAGGACUGCCGGUCCUCAUUAUGUGAGUGUAUCUGGUUCGGCCUUUGCAUCUUCUUAGAGAACGUUUGAUUCAGUUCAUUCGGAUUCUAAGACUUUUACUUUGAGGAAAUUAGAGUGUUCACGGCAGGCUUACGCCUUGAAUAUAUUAGCAUGGAAUAAUAAUAUAGGCACGGGUUCCUAUUUUGUUGGUUUCUAGGAACUUGUGAAUGAUAAAUAGGGACAGUUGGGGGCAUUCGUAUUACGGCGCUAGAGGUGGAAUUCUUAGAUUGCCGUACGACGAACUACUGCGAAAGCAUUUGCCAAGGAUGUUUUCA